UUUCUGAUAUUACUUGCAAUCGAAUUGCAUGUAGUUUAUUUUAAGCUACGUAAAUAUUUUUGGUGCUUUAUAUAUAUUUGUUUUGUUUUACAGAUGAAUAAGUCAGCACUUCUAAUGUUGCUCCUUGUCGGACUUCUCGUCCUCACAGAUACAACCCACGGUGGGUGGGGGCGUCGUCGUCGUAACUGGAACACAGAAAGCCAGAAGCAAAAUCUUAGAGAUAUCAAAGGUGAUUUAGAACUUGAUCGCGACUCAUAUUAUGAUGGGAUGCCCAAAGAUGACACCUAUUAUAAUGCAAUGCCUGCUAAAGAUGACAAUCAAUGAAGAGAAGAUGGCCACCUUAGGUUGAAUAAUUGAUAAAUGUCAUUCACGUGCACGAUUUAAUAUCAAUCAGAAAUAAAUUCAACCAUGGCAUUA